GCCUCGCACGCUUCAAUGGUGAAGCCGCCGGCUUUUAACCGGUAGAUGCAGGGUUCGAUUCCCUGGCGAGGCA
rnacentral:tRNA from 1 species